rnacentral:rRNA from 1 species
CGCGGCCUAUCAGCUUGUUGGUGGGGUGAUGGCCUACCAAGGCGACGACGGGUAGCCGGCCUGAGAGGGUGACCGGCCACACUGGGACUGAGACACGGCCCAGACUCCUACGGGAGGCAGCAGUGGGGAAUAUUGCGCAAUGGGCGGAAGCCUGACGCAGCGACGCCGCGUGGGGGAUGAAGGCCUUCGGGUUGUAAACCUCUUUUACCACUCACGAAGGCCCCUGGUUUUCUGGGGGUUGACGGUAGGUGGUGAAUAAGGACCGGCUAACUACGUGCCAGCAGCCGCGGUAAUACGUAGGGUCCGAGCGUUGUCCGGAAUUAUUGGGCGUAAAGAGCUCGUAGGCGGCCUGUCGCGUCUGCUGUGAAAGUCCGGGGCUUAACUUCGGGCGUGCAGGCGAUACGGGCAUAACUUGAGUGCUGUAGGGGAGACUGGAAUUCCUGGUGUAGCGGUGGAAUGCGCAGAUAUCAGGAGGAACACCGAUGGCGAAGGCAGGUCUCUGGGCAGUUACUGACGCUGAGGAGCGAAAGCAUGGGUAGCGAACAGGAUUAGAUACCCUGGUAGUCCAUGCCGUAAACGGUGGGCGCUAGGUGUAGGGGGCUUCCACGUCUUCUGUGCCGUAGCUAACGCAUUAAGCGCCCCGCCUGGGGAGUACGG